rnacentral:rRNA from 1 species
AUUGAACGCUGGCGGCAUGCUUUACACAUGCAAGUCGAACGGCAGCACAGGGAGCUUGCUCCCGGGUGGCGAGUGGCGCACGGGUGAGUAAUACAUCGGAACGUGUCCUGUUGUGGGGGAUAACUGCUCGAAAGGGUGGCUAAUACCGCAUGAGACCUGAGGGUGAAAGCGGGGGAGUCGCAAGACCUCGCGCAAUUGGAGCGGCCGAUGCCCGAUUAGCUAGUUGGUGAGGUAAAGGCUCACCAAGGCGACGAUCGGUAGCUGGUCUGAGAGGACGACCAGCCACACUGGGACUGAGACACGGCCCAGACUCCUACGGGAGGCAGCAGUGGGGGAAUAUUGCGCAAUGGAGGGAAACUACUGACGCAGUGACGCCGCGUGCAGGAAGAAGGUUUUCGGAUUGUAAACUGCUUUAGACAGGGAAGAAACAAGACAGUACCUGUAGAAUAAGCUCCGGCUAACUACGUGCCAGCAG